UAUCUCUGUAGAGUCUGCAUAUCAAUAAGCGGAGGAAAAGAAACUAACUAGGAUUCCCUUAGUAACGGCGAGUGAAGCGGGAAGAGCUCAGAUUUGAAAUCUUCAAGGUUUACCUUGACGAAUUGUAGUUUAAAGAAGUGUUUUCUGUUGGAUGUUUUGGUAAAAGUUCUUUGGAAUAGGACAUCAUAGAGGGUGAGAAUCCCGUAUUUGACCAUUACUUUCCAGCUUUGUGAUACACUUUCAAAGAGUCGGAUUGUUUGGGAAUGCAGUCCAAAAUGGGUGGUAAAUUUCAUCUAAAGCUAAAUAUUGGCGAGAGACCGAUAGCGAACAAGUACCGUGAGGGAAAGAUGAAAAGAACUUUGAAAAGAGAGUUAAACAGUACGUGAAAUUGUCAAAAGGGAAGCGUUUGACACCAGUGUUGUUUUCUCGAAAAUCAAUUAAAAAAAGGUUAGGAUUUUGUAUUGUUAUGACCUUAUCAGCUUACUGUACUCUUUUCUUGUCUUUUUUAAUGCACUUUUCGUUUAACAAGUCAACAUCAACUUCUUUUGUUGUAAAAGAGUCAUUGGAAGGUGGCUUUCACUUCGAGUGAAAGUGUUUAUAGCCUUUGGCUUCUGCAAUCGGAGAGAUUGAGGUCUGCAGCGUAGAUCCUUCGGGGCUAGAUACGUAGAUGCUAAGUUAUAGUUUUUUAUAGACAACUUGUUGACUAUAAUUAAUCAUGUAGCUUACUCGUUUGCGCUAUUUUACCUACGCUUAGGAUGUUGACGAUCAGCUGAGCGCG
rnacentral:rRNA from 1 species